UGGACAUAGAAUCUGUAAUUAAAGCACUGUCAGAAGCCUGAAUGUCCCCUAGAUAAAUCUUCUCUCAUCUGGUUUUUGUAGUUAUUGGGAAAGAAAUCAACUUGAUUUAUUCUUACAUUCACAUAUUUCUACUUUAUAAUACAUUGGAGAACACUUACCAGUAUAAUAGCUGAAGAGUGAAAAUUCUUACCGGCUUGCUACAAGCAUCCUAAAGAAAACUGACCAUUUUGUACACAAUAGGUAAAGUCUUAAGAGUACCAUCAGUGCUUUAAAAAAAGAAAAGAAAAAAGGCAUUCGUACUCACCCUCAAGAUGUUACAGUUAAGUGCCAUGCUUUUAAAAUUUGGGGGGGGGGGUGUUGGUAUUAUGUACCCUUGAGUACCCCCAGAAAAAAGCACAGGUAUUAUAGGGUGGUUUUGUUUUUGUUUUGCAUGCAUUACUGAAUGCAGUGUGUACCCCCAUGUACCAAUGCUUUCAGUCCCCAAUGUUUUUGGUUUCCUUGUGCUGAAACAUGUUUCCACAAGCAGGUUAGACAAUGUACAAGCCUUGCAUGCAGAAGGUCUAGAUCCAGUCUCUAGGAUCAGACCAAAGCAGAAUAGCCUGCUGGAAGUUCUAGAGAGCUGCUGCCAGAGUAGACCACACUGGGCUAGAUGGAUUUUAUUUUUAAAAUAAAAGCUUAUUCCAUACAAUUUUGGCGAGAGUUUCUUUAUAUUCUUGCACUGUAUAACACAGCCUAUUUAAUAUAAAUUAGACUGAUCAAAUUUCCUUUUUUUUAAAUUGGGGGGGGAGGGAUAUGGUUUGUGGGUAGACAGGGAAAGCAAUAAUAGGAAUGUUAUCAGCUCUAUGUGGACAGAUUUUGGCUCUCAUAAUUGCUCCCUUUGUCAGGUAAUGGCAAGGUGAGUAGUUUUGCUAAUGCCCCCUGACUUCAUGCUUCUAAACAGAACAAUAAUCAAAUUUAUUUGUGAUGUGUGUUGGGGAGAAUGCAAGUACAAGGAAGCUUCCUGUGUUUGUUCCUAUGUAGAUGUGAUGUGCAAGUUUGUGUGAAGCAGCCUUCACUGCAAACAAACAGCAAGCUGAUAAAAUCAGCACAUAACAUAGCUCCACCUUACAGACACACCUGCUCAUUCUCACUUUGAGUUGCAGCCUCUGAUCUUCCCACUUGACUCCAAUAUCUCACAAUUACUUCUAGUUGCAGUUGUCCCUAUGUACAGUAUGUUAACUUUGGUCCUUUGUCAACUCUUCAGACCCAGCCUCUAUGUGUUGUACAAUAUUACAAUGCACAAAAUGCGCCCACUCUUCCAUUUUUAACACCCAGGUCAAAAGACCUAGGCCAAUUCUCAAGACUGCAUGAAAGCUCACAUAAUAACUGCAGUGUAAUGCAAAGUUUGAGACCUUUGCCAAUUCUCUCUGUUCAGUUUGUGAUGUUUUCCUGAAGAACAAGUGAUUACUUGUUGAUGUUGUAAAACCUUUAAAUGCUGGCCAUAAUGAAAAAGUAGUUUGCUAAUCAAGGCCUACAUUUUAUAUAAGAAUGCUGUUCUUUUUAUUAGUUCGGCGUUUUCCAUUAUAUUAGUAAUAGUGCAACCUUCAUUUAUUUCUGUGAAACAGCAGCCUCUUUUCUUUCUACUAUUUCUUUUUAAAACAUGUCCCAAACAACCUAGUACAGAAAACCUACUGAGCUUGGCAGGCUUGGAAAACUUCCAGGGACUUUAAUGAAACUGAAUAGGUUUUGCUCAGAUAAAAAUACAGAAGAUACUUUUAACAUUAUUUGAAAGUAUUCAUGACUUGGCAGGUGUUUACAUUUAGCUGGCUGCUACAGACUCCUGCUAACAAACCAGAGAUGUAUUAAAACUGAGAGAGCGAGAUUACGUUACAUGGAAAAAUCCUUCAGCUUUUAUACCGCUGGCUCUAAAAAGUGUCCUCUAGAUCUUUGAACUGUAGGUGCUCCCCAUCAAAACAAAAAUGUACAAUUACUGAGCAUAUAUAGAUGAGCCAUACAAAUAAAGUUAGUGCAAGGUAAAUGCAAUGGGCAGGAUCUAAGGUCAUCUCAAUGUUCACACAAUGGGAUUUGCCCUUUUGUUCCGCCCCGCUGCAGCACACCCCAGAGCAGAUUUUGGGGGUGUGCAUGGGGCUCCCGGAGGGAAAGAGCAGAAGGGGAAGUAUGACUGGUACAAGUGGGAAACCACCACUGGGUAUCACCCAACAUAUUUAGAGAAGCAAGAAUAGCUUCCGCCCAGACCAAAGGAGGAUCUGGGAAGGAUAUCUAGAGCACAAAAUAAAGUCUAGCUAGAUAUGUUGUGCUGCUUCAGCAGAAUGUGAUACCUGCUUGAAUUUCUCCCCACCCCAACACACUUUUUUUAAAGCCUCUCAAGUAGCUACACACACACACACACACACACACACACACACACCCCAAGCAGAAAAUGGGUGUAUCUAAGGUCUAAUAAGACAGAAGCAGGAAAAGGGGAGGGAGGGAGAAACAGUAGCUCUUCAGGACCCCAGAGAUUCCUGUUGCCAGUAUCCAAACUUAUCAAUCACAGCUCCAACGUCAUUCGUUGGUUUAAAAACAAUGAUAGGCAGGAGCAGCCAGGCUUUUUCAUUUCACAUAAAUGGUUUAGAAGGGUACAAAUUUUGCUUCAUGACUUUUCUCCUAGGAGGACCAGAGAUGCUUACAGGAAAGAAAGAAAGAAAGAAAGAAAGAAAGAAAGAAAGAAAGAAAGAAAGAAAGCUUUGAGUCUGGGAGCCCUGCGUGGGGUACCAAUGAAAGCCUUCACAGGCACCAUGGCACCCAUAGGUGCCAAGCUGGUGACCCCUGGUCUAUACUGUGGUGGCAGAUGGAAUUGGUUUUUUUUGUUUUGUUUUAAUGUUUAUUGUUUGGGUUCUUGUAGCUUUGAUCAUUGUGACCUGUCCUAUGAUUGCCUAAUGAUGAAUGGGGUAUAUAUUUUACAAAGCAGUACUGUAUUAGCAGGGGAAAGAGGAGGAAAUAAGGAGCCUAUGUUUCUUGGAAACAACCAUGUUUCUCCAAUGAUGUGUAGUUCUGACCUUCCAUAGCAACAGAGGAUUAUGCAAUCAAAUCUUUUCAGUGCAAUUCGGGGCAGGCAAAUACAUUAAUUUUAAUUCAGCGUGGCUAUGGCUUACAGCAGAGAGAGUUGUGUAAGAGAGAACGUUUGUCUAUAACACUUUGUCUAUUAAGUCUACGUCAUGAGGUUGCAGAGAAAGGUCUUCUUGCAGCUGUGAAAGCCCCUUCCUCUGGAAGCCUCCAAAUGUUGGCUAAUUCACACACCCCUGCACCAUAUUUCCACCACAUAAUUCCACUGUGAAUGCAUAAAAUUGCUUCCCUUUUACCAUCCUAACAUCCUAAUUUCCAGAGGAGCGUCUCCCCACUCCAAAGGCUGUCAAGCUCAAGCAACUCCUUUUCAUCAGUGUAAUUGUUCCCACUGGCGAGGUCAACUUACACUUGCAAGCUUAACUUGCUGACCUGACAUUAAUCCUGCAUUAAUUAAAAAGAAAGAAAAGAGGGAGGAUAAAACAUGCCAAACAGGAAUAAAUGGAAACUCGCCAUUACAUUUCAUUUGCAUAAUUAAAGCUCCAUAAUCUAAAAAGUGCAUAAAUUAUGAGACCAAGCGGAAAAAAAGAGAAGACAGACGCACACAAAGUAAGCAAAUGCUGAAACAUGACAGAACAGCUUGAGGGCAAUAGGCCAAGCAGUUUUUGCACCAAAAAAGGAGAAAUCUCUGAAGAGGCUCCCUGAUGGAACAGCAUGCCGAAUCUAUACGGCUGUUUCCCCUCCCCCCACCAAUCAAGCUAUAUGGGGGUUACAAGCAACUCAUUGAUUUUGGCAGCAUCACUUUUGCUGAUGAUGCUAGCCUAGCGUGAUCAAAAUGGUAAUUGGCAGUCUCCAUGUGGCUUAUAGGUGUUAAGAGAUGUUGGUUCCGUGUUCUUGACACUUGUAAAACCCUCGUCUUAAAAGUACCCCAUGAAUAAGUGUAAACAUUAGAUUUGUAACCAAAAAUGUAAGGAUAUUUAAUGCUACUAUAUUAUAAAUGAAUAAAAUGCCCUAGCACUCUUCAACUCAUUUCUUAUUGGCAACCUGACAUCAUCCAGACUUUUUCAACUGCAACCCCCAUCAGCCCCAGCCAGAAUUCAAUUUCCCCAAAAACAUUCUCCCAGAAUUAGUAAUCUACCAUGUUUUUCUCAAACCUUGAAGUGUCUCAGAGAUUCUCAUAUUCUGAACUCAGGAAGGAGCAUAGCUCAAUGCAGUGUUUCUCAAACUUUGGUCCCCAGCUGUUGUUGGACUACAACUCCCAUCAGCCCUGACCUGCUAGCUAUGGAUGAUGGGAGUUGUGGUCCAGCAACAGCUGGGGACCAAAGUUUAAGAAACACUAGCUCAGAGUAUCAGAUGCAGAGGGAGAGCGCUGCUUUGUACACUUCAGGUCUCAGGUUCAACCUCUGGCAUCUUCAGGUAGGGCUGGGGGAACCUGAGGGACCUUGCCAGGAAGUGCAGAAAAUACUGACCUAGAUGGACUACUGGUAUGAUUCAGUAUAAGGCAGUUUCCUAUGUUCCAUAAUGCCCCAGUCUGCAAGCACAUACAAUGCCUCUGGCUGCUCUCUGGUAAAUGGCAUUAACACUGAGAAUCAUGUUAUUGUUGGCCAGGUCAAAAAAUGAAACAGCUGUCUAGCAAUAUAGGAGGUGCAUCUUUUGGAGGCGAAGCAAGACAUGGGGCAGAGCCAGAGGUUUUAUCUUGGACCUUCAUACGGAAGGUAGCAAUUCAAGAAGCUAGCAUCCAGAAAAAACCAGCACUGAUGUAUAUGUGGCGUUAUCUUCUGAAAUAAUCAACCUUUGGAGCAAAGCAUUCCGCAGAAAGGUGCCUUUGUCAUGCCAAAAACGAAUACAAAAGGCGUG
rnacentral:lncRNA from 1 species